rnacentral:lncRNA from 1 species
CGCUUUAAAAACAUUGCCUUCGGCCACCAGUGAUCUACUUCAAAUCUGUUCAUGUGGACAAACACAUGUAUCUAAUUCACUAGAGCAUCUAGUGAAAACGAACAGCAAGAAGGUAGUAUUUAAUUCUGUGAUAGUAAUCCCAUAAUUGCAGCAGACACAAUAAUCUUCAACUUCUUGCGUGACAAAAUUGAUUGACUAUUGAAUCUACUCAUGUUUAAACCCCAUUGGAAAGAGAGAGGGAAAAUACUAAACCGACCUAGAAGAACCAAACAGAGAAAGGAGAUGGGCGACCUUCCAUGGUGUUAGGGUCGGAGCAGCCUUCCUCUCUUGGCACGGCAUGCCAUUGAACCCGCGUGGGAGCGGAUUCUCUAUGGACCUGUUCCUUCACACAACAAGGUCAGACCGGGUGGGAACUAAUUGUCUGCACAGAAGAAAACAGCGAACGGGGGUUCAUUUAUUCAGAGAAGAGGAAUUAUCAGCCAUAGAAAAAUAGUAGUGCGUCCAUCAUUCAAUGCUUUGAAGAAUGAAGGAUAGGGUCAGCUAUAUAUACUAGCCACUUGUACUAAUGACUAAAUCAUGUGAAUCUCAUCCUUGACAUAUGUAAACAAGAGGCGUCAUCUAUGAAGAGUUGGAGAAGGUGCUUUGAUGCAUCAAGAAAAAUUAGAGCUUGCAUAUACAACCUGUAGGAGAGGGGUUCCAGCGGACCUCACCAAACUAGAAUUAUAAAAACUACUAGUCAGGCUAAAGCAGAGCAUAGCAUUGACAACUUGGGUAAACCAAAUGACACAAGACUUGAGGCAUGCACAUCUAUUUGAAAAUAACAUUACAAUGCACUGACAUGAGCAAUCAAUUAUGCAAUCCCUAAUCGCAGUGGCAACAAGCUCCAACAUGUGGGCCAUGUUGAUGACAAAAUUGAUUGAUGAGAAGAAAAAAACUGAAUCAGCCUAGAACCAAACUAAACAGAGAGAGAGAGAGAGAGAGAGGAGAUUGGCGACCUACCAUUGUGUGAGGGUCAGAGCAGCCAUGCAGAACUACACUGCCGCCUUUCCUCUACCGGCAUGCCCCACUUUUUCUUCCAGGUUCUAGCACAUGAUCAUACCCACCGCAACAACUCUGUAUCAAACACAAGCAUCAUAAUUUUUAGUACGUAGUAAUUCAAAAUGUUGACCCAAUAUAACAUGAACCAAUGUCAAAUAUUCAAUUGCAUAAAUAAAAAUGAAACAUUGAACUAAACAGAGGAAAGCAAUAUUGUUUCAAGCAUAAAAAAUUCUAGUACUGGAAUGCUUUCCUUUGUCUAGUAUGCAACUAGUAUCAUGUGGUUUUAGGAAAAUCAAAACCGAAGUACAUAUAAUAGCCACUAAAAAUUGUAACAAACAUCAAAACUGUAACACAAGGAUCAGGUAAUUUGGAUGCACAACAAGAAAAUAAUAGAAAGUAGGCAGGCUAGAGCAGAGCAUGGACAACUUGGUUAAACAAUUUAAACACAAAACUUGUAGGCAUAUUAAUUGGCGAUAUUUGACAAACGCAUGAAUCCAAUUCACAUGACCAUCCAGUGAAAGCAAGCAACAAAUAAUAAGCAUAACAAGGCACAUAAAGUCUUGGGAAAUCCUGCAAUAGUAAUCCUUUGCUGCUAUCAUUCACUAGCAAAGCUAAUCCUUGUGUCUAGAUUAUGUGUGAGAUGAUAUGAUGCAACAACAAGUGGGGCCCAACAAGGAAGUAGCUAAAAGGUUGUACAUACAAAAAAAUGUUGAGUCCUCCUUGUCAUCAUGGAACUAAUUCAUCCAUCCAUCUCUGUUUCUUUCAGCAACAAGUUGCACUACUCUUCAGUCACAACUUUCUUUCUUUUAUAAAUAAAUAUCAAGUGUGUGAUCAGUGGGGUGUCCACAUCCUUGGUGUGGAGGUGACCGUUUUAUUUUGGGAGGAUAGGACUCUCCUUGUAGAGAAAUAUUAUGUAUAUAUGUUAUGCAAGACAAGACCGAUUGGUCCUUCCACCACCAGUGAUCUAGUUCAAACUUGCUCGUCUGGACAAACACAUGUAUCUAACUCACAUACAUGAGCAUCCAGUGGAAGCAAACAGUAAGCAGGUCGCAUCUAAUCUAAUUUUGCAAUAGUACUCCCUACUAACCGCGGCCCAUGACCAAUAGUAAUUCUUCAGUAGUAACUUGUUGUUGGACAAAAUUGAUUUAUCUCUAAAUCUGCUCAUGUUUAAAUACCAUCAGGGAGAGAGAGAGAGAGAGAGAGAGAGAGAGAAAACAAAUUGAAUCGCCCUAGAACUAGAACCGAACAGAGAGAGAGAUGGUAGUAAACUGACUGACACAAUGCGUUAAGGCAUCAAUCAAGCACCCAGGAUGGACGUCACCCAGCCAUGGCGGUUUGGUUUCGCAACCAAACCAAGCAGAAUAUACAUAUAUGCACUAGUAGGCUAGAGCAUUGCAUCAAAAAGUGAUGCAAUGCGUGAGUGCAUUCAAGGGCAAUCUAUCUAACGGUAGAAGAGUUGGAAAAAACAUGAUGUAUACAUGCAAUGGACACACAGACCCAGUUUGCUCCAGUUUCAGUCAUACAAAACUAAACCAAAACGUGACACGGAAUUCGCUCCCUCUUCUAGUCAUGGCAUCCAGAAUUUACAAACCGAAGCACUAAAACAUACUGUAUAUACAAACUGCAGGUAGGUGAUAUUCAGAACUGGGGAUAAAUUGGAUGGGGAAGAGGGUAAGCUCACUCAUCACAUUGGCGCUGGGGGAGAGGUGGAGAGGGAUGGAUGUUAACGUGCUCCUCCUCCUCCUCUCCUCUCCGCCAUGUUGUCACUACCCAUGGAGAGACGCGUGGGAGGGGUUCUCCAUGGCCCGGCCCCCUUCCUUCCUUCCACAUAAGCAGAUUAUCAGACCAAGAUGAGAACUUGAUGAAGAAAACUAGAGGAAGAAGAAGAGGAUGGGAUGCACUCACGCAACAGAUGCUCCUCCUGGAGGGGAUCCUCCUACGGGUGGAGCCGUGGGGCUAGCUAGUUAGGGUUGAGGUCGGACACGGUGGCUAAGGAGUGGGUGGAAGAGGGGCGGUGCUUUGUAGUGGAGAAGGAUGGAGCUCGGUCCUCUGCUGCUCACGGUAGCCCGAGCACCGUGGCUCCUCCACAGCGGCCGGGGAGAAGAGAGACGAGGCACGACAUCUGGGAGAGGAAGAACGCAGGCGUAGGAGUCACUGUUGCCGCCGCCGGAUUAGGGAUUGGGGUUUGGCAAAGGUGUAGGGGUUGGGUGAGGCGACAUGGGGAUUCGAAAGGGAUUCUCC